rnacentral:rRNA from 1 species
AUUGAACGCUGGCGGCAGGCCUAACACAUGCAAGUCGAACGAGUGGCGGACGGGUGAGUAAUGUCUGGGAAACUGCCUGAUGGAGGGGGAUAACUACUGGAAACGGUAGCUAAUACCGCAUACCAUCGGAUGUGCCCAGAUGGGAUUGGCUAGUAGGUGGGGUAAAGGUUCACCUAGGCGACGAUCCCUAGCUGGUCUGAGAGGAUGACCAGCCACACUGGAACUGGGAGACGGUGCAGACUCCUACGGGAGGCAGCAGUGGGGAAGAGUGCAAAAUGGGCGGAAGACUGAUGCAGACAUGCCGCGUGUAUGAAGAAGGCCUUCGGGUUGUAAAGUACUUUCAGCGGGGAGGCGUUACCCGCAGAAGAAGCACCGGCUAACUCCGUGCCAGCAGCAGCGGUAAUUC